rnacentral:sRNA from 1 species
CAGUGAAAUUCGUUCCUUUGGAACAAGUGAAAUAUCUUUGAUGUGAAAUAUUUGCUCCGCAAAUGUGAAAUACGCCUGCGGCGUGUGAAAGCGCUG